UAAGGAAUAUUGGUCAAUGGACGCAAGUCUGAACCAGCCAUGCCGCGUGAAGGAUGAAGGUCCUCUGGAUUGUAAACUUCUUUUAUCUGGGACGAAAACGGGAUUUUUAUCUCAAUUGACGGUACCAGAGGAAUAAGCACCGGCUAACUCCGUGCCAGCAGCCGCGGUAAUACAGAGGGUGCGAGCGUUAUCCGGAUUUACUGGGUUUAAAGGGUGCGUAGGUGGGCUUAUAAGUCAGUGGUGAAAUCUCCGAGCUUAACUUGGAAACUGCCGUUGAUACUAUAGGUCUUGAAUUAUCUGGAGGUAAGCGGAAUAUGUCAUGUAGCGGUGAAAUGCUUAGAUAUGACAUAGAACACCAAUUGCGAAGGCAGCUUACUACAUAUAAAUUGACGCUGAGGCACGAAAGCGUGGGGAUCAAACA
rnacentral:rRNA from 1 species